rnacentral:rRNA from 1 species
GACGAACGCUGGCGGCGUGCCUAAUACAUGCAAGUCGAGCGGAUGACGGAGGAGCUUGCUCCUCCUGAUUCAGCGGCGGACGGGUGAGUAACACGUGGGCAACCUGCCCUGUAGAUUGGGAUAACUCCGGGAAACCGGGGCUAAUACCGAAUAAUCCUUCGUACCUCAUGGUCCGAUGUUGAAAGACGGCAUCUCGCUGUCACUACAGGAUGGGCCCGAGGCGCAUUAGCUAGUUGGUGAGGUAACGGCUCACCAAGGGCACGAUGCGUAGCCGGCCUGAGAGGGUGAUCGGCCACACUGGGACUGAGACACGGCCCAGACUCCUACGGGAGGCAGCAGUAGGGAAUCUUCCACAAUGGACGAAAGUCUGAUGGAGCAACGCCGCGUGAGUGAAGAAGGUUCUCGGAUCGUAAAACUCUGUUGUGAGGGAAGAACAAGUACCGGAGUAACUGCCGGUGCCUUGACGGUACCUCAUUAGAAAGCCACGGCUAACUACGUGCCAGCAGCCGCAGUAAAAC